rnacentral:rRNA from 1 species
ACAAGCGGUGGAUGAUGUGGUUAAUUCGAUGCAACGCGAAAACCUUACCACCUUUGACAUGUACGGAAUCCUUAGAGAUAGAGGAGUGCUCGAAAGAGAGCCGUAACACAGGUGCUGCAUGGCUGUCGUCAGCUCGUGUCGUGAGAUGUUGGGUUAAGUCCCGCAACGAGCGCAACCCUUGUCAUUAGUUGCUACAUUCAGUUGGGCACUCUAAUGAGACUGCCGGUGACAAACCGGAGGAAGGUGGGGAUGACGUCAAGUCCUCAUGGCCCUUAUAGGUGGGGCUACACACGUCAUACAAUGGAUGGUACAAAGGGUCGCCAACCCGCGAGGGGGAGCCAAUCCCAUAAAGCCAUUCGUAGUCCGGAUCGCAGUCUGCAACUCGACUGCGUGAAGUCGGAAUCGCUAGUAAUCGUGGAUCAGAAUGUCACGGUGAAUACGUUCCCGGGUCUU